rnacentral:rRNA from 1 species
AACGAACGCUGGCGGCAGGCUUAACACAUGCAAGUCGAACGGACGUAGCAAUACGUUAGUGGCGCACGGGAGAGUAACACGUGGGAACCUACCUUUUAGUUCGGAAUAACGUCGGGAAACUGACGCUAAUACCGGAUACGCCCCAAGGGGGAAAGAUUUAUCGCUAAAAAGAUGGGCCCGCGCUAGAUUAGCUAGUUGGUAAGGUAAUGGCUUACCAAGGCUACGAUCUAUAGCUGGUCUGAGAGGAUGACCAGCCUCACUGGGACUGAGACACGGCCCAGACUCCUACGGGAGGCAGCAGUGGGGAAUAUUGGACAAUGGGGGCAACCCUGAUCCAGCCAUGCCGCGUGAAUGAUGAAGGCCUUCGGGUUGUAAAGUUCUUUUGGAGGGGACGAUGAUGACGGUACCUCAGAAUAAGCUCCGGCUAACUUCGUGCCAGCAACCGCGGUAAUCUGUAGUCGU